GUUCAAAAGAGGAAAGGCUUGCGGUGGAUACCUAGGCAGUGAGAGACGAGGAAGGGCGUAGCAAGCGACGAAAUGCUUCGGGGAGUUGAAAAUAAGCAUAGAUCCGGAGAUUCCCAAAUAGGUCAACCUUUUAAACUGCCUGCUGAAUCCAUGAGCAGGCAAGAGACAACCUGGCGAACUGAAACAUCUUAG
rnacentral:ncRNA from 1 species